AACGAACGCUGGCGGCAGGCUUAACACAUGCAAGUCGAGCGCCCCGCAAGGGGAGCGGCAGACGGGUGAGUAACGCGUGGGAAUCUACCGUACCCUACGGAAUAACGCAUGGAAACGUGUGCUAAUACCGUAUACGCCCUUAGGGGGAAAGAUUUAUCGGGGUAUGAUGAGCCCGCGUUGGAUUAGCUAGUUGGUGGGGUAAAGGCCUACCAAGGCGACGAUCCAUAGCUGGUCUGAGAGGAUGAUCAGCCACAUUGGGACUGAGACACGGCCCAAACUCCUACGGGAGGCAGCAGUGGGGAAUAUUGGACAAUGGGCACAAGCCUGAUCCAGCCAUGCCGCGUGAGUGAUGAAGGCCUUAGGGUUGUAAAGCUCUUUCACCGGUGAAGAUAAUGACGGUAACCGGAGAAGAAGCCCCGGCUAACUUCGUGCCAGCCGCCGCAGUAAGAC
rnacentral:rRNA from 1 species